rnacentral:rRNA from 1 species
AUUGAACGCUGGCGGCAGGCCUAACACAUGCAAGUCGAGCGGAUGAAGGGAGCUUGCUCCUGGAUUCAGCGGCGGACGGGUGAGUAAUGCCUAGGAAUCUGCCUGGUAGUGGGGGAUAACGUCCGGAAACGGGCGCUAAUACCGCAUACGUCCUGAGGGAGAAAGUGGGGGAUCUUCGGACCUCACGCUAUCAGAUGAGCCUAGGUCGGAUUAGCUAGUUGGUGGGGUAAAGGCCUACCAAGGCGACGAUCCGUAACUGGUCUGAGAGGAUGAUCAGUCACACUGGAACUGAGACACGGUCCAGACUCCUACGGGAGGCAGCAGUGGGGAAUAUUGGACAAUGGGCGAAAGCCUGAUCCAGCCAUGCCGCGUGUGUGAAGAAGGUCUUCGGAUUGUAAAGCACUUUAAGUUGGGAGGAAGGGCAGUAAGUUAAUACCUUGCUGUUUGGACGUUACCAACAGAAUAAGCACCGGCUAACUUCGUG